GACGAAGGGGGCUAGCGUUGUUCGGAAUUACUGGGCGUAAAGCGCACGUAGGCGGUUUCUUAAGUCGGUGGUGAAAUCCUGGAGCUCAACUCCAGAACUGCCUUUGAUACUGAAGAUCUUGAGUUCGGGAGAGGUGAGUGGAACUGCGAGUGUAGAGGUGAAAUUCGUAGAUAUUCGCAAGAACACCAGUGGCGAAGGCGGCUCACUGGCCCGAUACUGACGCUGAGGCGCGAAAGCGUGGGGAGCAAACAGG
rnacentral:rRNA from 1 species